rnacentral:rRNA from 1 species
GACGGCGACUCCUACGGGAGGCAGCAGUGGGGAAUAUUGCACAAUGGGCGCAAGCCUGAUGCAGCCAUGCCGCGUGUAUGAAGAAGGCCUUCGGGUUGUAAAGUACUUUCAGCAGUGAGGAAGGUGGGUAUGUUAAUAGCAUAUUCAUUUGACGUUAGCUGCAGAAGAAGCACCGGCUAACUCCGUGCCAGCAGCCGCGGUAAUACGGAGGGUGCGAGCGUUAAUCGGAAUUACUGGGCGUAAAGCGCAUGCAGGUGGUUUGUUAAGUCAGAUGUGAAAGCCCGGGGCUCAACCUCGGAAUUGCAUUUGAAACUGGCAAACUAGAGUACUGUAGAGGGGGUAGAAUUUCAGGUGUAGCGGUGAAAUGCGUAGAGAUCUGAAGGAAUACCGGUGGCGAAGGCGGCCCCCUGGACAGAUACUGACACUCAGAUGCGAAAGCGUGGGGAGCAAACAGGAUUACAUACCCUGGUAG